GACGAACGCUGGCGGCGUGCUUAACACAUGCAAGUCGAACGGAAAGGCCCUGCUUUUGUGGGGUGCUCGAGUGGCGAACGGGUGAGUAACACGUGAGUAACCUGCCCUUGACUUUGGGAUAACUUCAGGAAACUGGGGCUAAUACCGGAUAGGAGCUCCUGCUGCAUGGUGGGGGUUGGAAAGUUUCGGCGGUUGGGGAUGGACUCGCGGCUUAUCAGCUUGUUGGUGGGGUAGUGGCUUACCAAGGCCUUGACGGGUAGCCGGCCUGAGAGGGUGACCGUCCACAUUGGGACUGAGAUACGGCCCAGACUCCUACGGGAGGCAGCAGUGGGGAAUAUUGCACAAUGGGCGGAAGCCUGAUGCAGCAACGCCGCGUGCGGGAUGACGGCCUUCGGGUUGUAAACCGCUUUCGCCUGUGACGAAGCGUGAGUGACGGUAAUGGGUAAAGAAGCACCGGCUAACUACGUG
rnacentral:rRNA from 1 species